rfam:Ictidomys tridecemlineatus contig038829, whole genome shotgun sequence.
AAGGUGGCUUACGCAACAGCUAUGGAUUGGUUUAUUGCCGUGUGCUAUGCCUUU